CCGCGUGAGGGAGGAGGCUCUUGGGUUGUAAACCUCUUUUCUCAGGGAAGAACUCAAUGACGGUACCUGAGGAAUCAGCAUCGGCUAACUCCGUGCCAGCAGCCGCGGUAAUACGGAGGAUGCAAGCGUUAUCCGGAAUGAUUGGGCGUAAAGCGUCCGCAGGUGGUAUUUCAAGUCUGCCGUUAAAAAGUUUGGCUCAACCAAAUCAAGGCGGUGGAAACUGAAAAACUAGAGUGUGAUAGGGGUAGAGGGAAUUCCUGGUGUAGCGGUGAAAUGCGUAGAGAUCAGGAAGAACACCGGUGGCGAAAGCGCUCUGCUAGGUCACGACUGACACUGAGGGACGAAAGCUAGGGGAGCGAAUGGGAUUAGAUACCCCAGUAGUCUUAGCUGUAAACGAUGGAUACUAGGCGUUGCUCGUAUCGACCCGAGCAGUGCCGUAGCUAACGCGUUAAGUAUCCCGCCUGGGGAGUACGCACGCAAGUGUGAAACUCAAAGGAAUUGACGGGGGCCCGCACAAGCGGUGGAGUAUGUGGUUUAAUUCGAUGCAACGCGAAGAACCUUACCAGGGCUUGACAUGUCCGGAAUCUCAGGGAAACUUGAGAGUGCCUUCGGGAGCCGGAACACAGGUGGUGCAUGGCUGUCGUCAGCUCGUGUCGUGAGAUGUUGGGUUAAGUCCCGCAACGAGCGCAACCCUCGUUCUUAGUUGCCAGCAUUAAGUUGGGCACUCUAAGAAGACUGCCGGUGACAAACCGGAGGAAGGUGGGGAUGACGUCAAGUCAGCAUGCCCCUUACGUCCUGGGCUACACACGUACUACAAUGCAUGAGACAAAGGGCAGCUAACCAGCAAUGGCAUGCAAAUCUCGUAAACUCAUGCUCAGUUCAGAUCGAAGGCUGCAACUCGCCUUCGUGAAGGUGGAAUCGCUAGUAAUCGCAGGUCAGCAUACUGCAGUGAAUUCGUUCCCGGGCCUUGUACACACCGCCCGUCACACCAUGGAAGCUGGUAGUGCCCGAAGUCGUUACCCUAACCAUUCGUGGAAGGGGAUGCCGAAGGCAGGACUGGUGACUGGGGUGAAGUGGUAACAAGGUAGCCGUACCGGAAGGUGUGGCUGGAUCACCUCCUUU
rnacentral:rRNA from 2 species